rnacentral:rRNA from 1 species
CCCUUAGAUGUUCUGGGCCGCACGCGUGCUACACUGAGUGGAUCAGCGGGUCAGGUUGCGCGAAAGCGUUUCCUAAUCUUUAAAUCCGCUCGUGAUGGGGAUUGACGGUUGCAAUUUUCCGUCAUGAACGAGGAAUACCUUGUAAGCGCGGGUCAUCAUCCCGCGCUGAAUACGUCCCUGCCCUUUGUACACACCGCCCGUUGCUCCUACCGAUUGAGUGGUCCGGUGAGGCUUUGGGAUCUGAGCGGAAAGAGCGUUUCGCUGUUUCUGCCCGGAAAACUCAGUCGAACCUUAUCAUUUAGAGGAAGGAGAAGUCGUAACA